GCCCCCGUAGUCAAACGGCAUGACGGCUGGUCCCCAACCAGCAGGCCCGGGUUCAAUUCCCGGCGGAGGCUCCA
rnacentral:tRNA from 1 species